rnacentral:lncRNA from 1 species
CAUUUAGAAGUUUGGGGCAAAAUUCAAGGGUUAAAUUGCACAUUUUAGAAGUUUUGGGUCCACUGUGAUGUUAACAAGAAUCCAGGGACCAAGGUUGCAAAUUAGGAAUUUCGCCUGGGCUAAAUUGCAUGAUUAGAAACUUUGGAGUUGAUUCGAGUGGACCUUUCUACACUUUUAAUAGUUUUGGGGUCAAAAAGUAAAUAUCCAAAAGUCCAAGGGCCAGAUGUGCAAAAAUGGCAAAGAUCACCAUUGUUGUCUUCUCCACCUCGAUCCCGAUGGUGAGACUCGAUUCCGGUGACGACGGAGUACGGCAAUGGAGGAUACAACUUGUACAUGAGAGCUUUCCGAUGAGGAGUGAGGCUCAGUCCCGACGGCGACGAAGAAACGGCACAGCCACGCGGAGACUGAUGAAGCUCGACGAAGCUUGGUCGCGGCUUAGAGGAGACGGUGGCGCAGUCACGGCUUGAUCAAGGCGAGGAAGAAGAAAUCGAGCUCGAGUAGGGCUGUUUGAUGGUCGGAGAGGAGAGGCUCUAGUAGAAGAAAGACGACGAGGACGAAGGCUCACGCGGGUUGAGAGACUCAGGAAGCUGUACCCGCGCGCACAAAGAGAGACAAAGACGACGAAGACUCACGCGGGUUGAGUGACUCGGGAAGCUGCACCUGCACGCAUAUUUGAAGCUGCUCGACGCUCCAACUCGGGGUGUUGCUAGCGACUGCUACCCGGGUC